UAUUAAAAAGAAAAAAUUUAUUUCGAAAAAAGAGAAAAUGUGGGUUGGUGUGUUGGUGUGCUUUAUUUGUAAGAUUUUUUUUUUUGUUUUUCUCCCCCCCCCCCCCAAAUUUUUUUUUUUUUUUUUUUUU
rnacentral:ribozyme from 13 species